ensembl:lincRNA
UGUUAUUGGAGCCAUUGAAUGACCCUUUUGGUGAACCCAAUAUAUUCCUACCACCCCGAAAUUAUACUGUUAACAUAUUGCUAUGUUUCCUUUUAGUCUCUUUAUACAUAUAUAAGCAUACAUUUUAUACAUCAUUGGGCUUUUUCUCUGUUACAGUUCAAACAGGGGAGCACAGUCACCAUGCUAUGGUAUUUAUCCACAGUUGUAAGGAGGAGAGAAGUAAAAGUCCAUGAUGGGGAUGUUGGGAUGCAGUGGAGUUGUUAACCAGAAAACGAAGAAGCCAAACACAUUAUCCCGGCUAUCCAGGGGAAAAAAAAGCCAGCACAACAGUAACAGUCAGAACAGCCAGAACCACCAGUUGAACUUCCUACUACCUGCCUUUUUACCCUGUUUGAGACACAACAAAUGGAAAGAGGAGAAGAGGCAACCCCCUAGAAAUGAAAAACUAAGAAGUGAACAUGUCGUUCUUCACCAAGAACUUCUUGCGAUGUAUGCCUGUGAGGCUCAGAAAUCAUUCAGUCCUAGCAGUUGUAAGCCAAGCCUUCUCCAAGGUGCUUUUCUUCCCCCCAAAGAAGUCAUAACAGGUAUAUAUAGAUAUCUAUAAUGCCU